rnacentral:siRNA from 1 species
UGAAGAAAGAUUUCUGCUGCA